rnacentral:rRNA from 1 species
GACGUAGGGGGCCAGCGUUGUUCGGAAUUACUGGGUGUAAAGGGUUCGUAGGCGGUGCGGCAAGUUGGGAGUGAAAUCUCUGGGCUUAACCCAGAGGCUGCUUCCAAAACUGCUGUGCUUGAGUGUGGGAGAGGCGCGUGGAAUUGCAGGUGUAGCGGUGAAAUGCGUAGAUAUCUGCAGGAACACCCGUGGCGAAGGCGGCUCACUGGACUGGUAUUGACGCUGAGGUGCGAAAGCGUGGGGAGCAAACAGG